AAUGAACGUUGGCGGCGUGGAUUAGGCAUGCAAGUCGAGCGAGAACCGUAGCAAUACGGGGACAGCGGCGAAAGGGACAGUAAUGUGUAGGUACCUACCCCUGGGUUCGGGAUAGCUGCGGGAAACUGCAGGUAAUACCGAAUAAUGUCUCCGGACCAAAGGUGUGAUUCCACCUGGGGAGGGGCCUGCAUCCUAUUAGCUUGUUGGCGGGGUAACGGCCCACCAAGGCAACGAUGGGUAGCGGGUGUGAGAGCACGACCCGCGUCAUUGGGACUGAGACACUGCCCAGACACCUACGGGUGGCUGCAGUCGAGGAUCUUCGGCAAUGGGCGAAAGCCUGACCGAGCGACGCCGCGUGCGGGAUGAAGGCCUUCGGGUUGUAAACCGCUGUCGUUGGGGAGGAAGUGCAGGGGGGUUCUCCCCUCUGUUUGACCUAUCCAAGGAGGAAGUACGGGCUAAGUUCGUGCCAGCAGCCGCGGUAA
rnacentral:rRNA from 1 species